AUUGAACGCUGGCGGCAGGCCUAACACAUGCAAGUCGAGCGGAUGAAGGGAGCUUGCUCCCGGAUUCAGCGGCGGACGGGUGAGUAAUGCCUAGGAAUCUGCCUGGUAGUGAGGGAUAACGUCCGGAAACGGGCGCUAAUACCGCAUACGUCCUGAGGGAGAAAGUGGGGGAUCUUCGGACCUCACGCUAUCAGAUGAGCCUAGGUCGGAUUAGCUAGUUGGUGGGGUAAAGGCCUACCAAGGCGACGAUCCGUAACUGGUCUGAGAGGAUGAUCAGUCACACUGGAACUGAGACACGGUCCAGACUCCUACGGGAGGCAGCAGUGGGGAAUAUUGGACAAUGGGCGAAAGCCUGAUCCAGCCAUGCCGCGUGUGUGAAGAAGGUCUUCGGAUUGUAAAGCACUUUAAGUUGGGAGGAAGGGCAGUAAGUUAAUACCUUGCUGUUUUGACGUUACCAACAGAAUAAGCACCGGCUAACUUCGUG
rnacentral:rRNA from 1 species